rnacentral:rRNA from 1 species
AUUGAACGCUGGCGGCAUGCCUUACACAUGCAAGUCGAACGGUAAAAGGUCUUCGGAUGCUGACGAGUGGCGAACGGGUGAGUAAUGCAUCGGAACGUGCCCAGUUGUGGGGGAUAACUGCUCGAAAGAGCAGCUAAUACCGCAUACGACCUGAGGGUGAAAGCGGGGGAUCGCAAGACCUCGCGCAAUUGGAGCGGCCGAUGUCAGAUUAGGUAGUUGGUGGGGUAAAGGCCUACCAAGCCGACGAUCCGUAGUUGGUCUGAGAGGACGACCAGCCACACUGGGACUGAGACACGGCCCAGAUUCCUACGGGAGGCAGCAGUGGGGAAUUUUGGACAAUGGGCGCAAGCCUGAUCCAGCAAUGCCGCGUGCAGGAAGAAGGCCUUCGGGUUGUAAACUGCUUUUGUCAGGGAAGAAAUCCUCUGGGUUAAUACCCCGGGGGGAUGACGGUACCUGAAGAAUAAGCACCGGCUAACUACGUGCCAGCAGCCGCAGUAACAC